rnacentral:rRNA from 1 species
AGCAGUCGCCGCGGGAAAACGAAGGGGGCUAGCGUUGCUCGGAAUCACUGGGCGUAAAGGGUGCGUAGGCGGGUCUUCAAGUCAGGGGUGAAAUCCUGGAGCUCAACUCCAGAACUGCCUUUGAUACUGAAGAUCUUGAGUUCGGGAGAGGUGAGUGGAACUGCGAGUGUAGAGGUGAAAUUCGUAGAUAUUCGCAAGAGCACCAGUGGCGAAGGCGGCUCACUGGCCCGAUACUGACGCUGAGGCACGAAAGCGUGGUGAGCAAACAGGAUUAGAUACCCCUGUAGUCCCUGUCUCUUAUAC